AGGUAAUGCAGCUCUUUUAGAAUUUUUCUAGCAGGUUUUCUGACUUUAGUCAGAAAACAUGA
ensembl:snRNA LOC120097205 U7 small nuclear RNA